rnacentral:rRNA from 1 species
UACGUAGGUGGCAAGCGUUAUCCGGAAUUAUUGGGCGUAAAGAGCGCGCAGGCGGUGACUUAAGUCUGAUGUGAAAGCCCACGGCUCAACCGUGGAAGGUCAUUGGAAACUGGGUCACUUGAAUAUAGAAGAGGAAAGUGGAAUUCCAUAUGUAGCGGUGAAAUGCGUAGAUAUAUGGAGGAACACCAGUGGCGAAGGCGACUUUCUGGUCUAUUAUUGACGCUGAGGCUCGAAAGCAUGGGUAGCAAACAGGAUUAGA